AGUUGGUAUCGCUCGGCAGUUUAACAAAGGAUUGACCUUAUUGAGUCUUCGUUGAAGAAGUAGCGACCUGCAUCGCAGAUAACUCCUGCCAAAAGAGGAAGAUAGUUCAUGCAAGAUUUGCUCUCUAGAAAUUCAGUAGAAACGGUAGCUGAGUCAUACGUGAAUGCCAGGAGCUGGAGUUGGCUGUCAGAGGCCAUUUGAGGUGCACGCCAUUGGGAGCUUUUAAAAGGAGAACAAUAAGGAGGAGAAGAUGGCGGCACGACGGCAGCUCGCGUGGCCUCUCCGGUGAAUGAAUGAUAUCUUUAUCUGUCAAGUAGGGGACCGUGCACAAUUCUGAUUUGAUGGAGACAGACGUGAGAGUACGGAGGAACAUCUGGAAAACUUCUGAAAUGCCGGCUUCACUGCCGCUGUUAUUGUAUGGUAACCGGAAUCUCUGGAGCUGAAGGCCUCGAAAUCUUCGGCUUUGCUUGUUUCAGCGGCUGGGGCAAGGUCGAAGGUGCUCGGCAGAGGAUGGCACUCGGAAGGCUGUAUUGGAGAGGCUGGUCGGAGGCUUGACGUUUUCAGAAAGAUGGACUCAGUGUCGGCUGUGGUCGGCUGCUUCCAAGGCAUCGGUAAGUUGGCGGUGCCUGGAGGUUUAUGGCGGGGAGUUUUCUCCCUUUUGCCGCCUGCUAUCAGGGACUCGGGAGUCGAUUGACUUGGGGACUUUGAGACUUUUUUUUACCGUGCCCAUGGUUUGUUCUUCAUCAAAUUAUGGUAUU